rnacentral:rRNA from 1 species
UACGGAGGGUGCAAGCGUUAAUCGGAUUUAUUGGGCGUAAAGGGCGCGUAGGCGGAACUACAAGCCAGACGUGAAAUCCCGGGGCUCAACCCCGGAACUGCGUUUGGAACUAUAGUUCUAGAGGGUAGGCGGAGAAAACGGAAUUCCACAUGUAGCGGUGAAAUGCGUAGAUAUGUGGAGGAACAUCAGUGGCGAAAGCGGUUUUCUAGCUUAUUCCUGACGCUGAGGCGCGAAAGCGAGGGGAGCAAACAGG